CUGUGUGAGGUUACUAAAGGCAGUGGAUCCCUCAGCAGCUGGAUUACAAAGAGCACAGCUUUGAGCACCUGCCCCUUUAAACGUCUCUGCACGGCCCUGAUUCCAGGCUUCUGUACGGGUGUUACAGCUUAAUCUGACCUGGAGAGACAAACAGCAAAGUGGAGCAGACUGACACAGUUACUGCAGACGUAGAUGUAGCCGUCCAUGCCAAAUCUACACCCUUGGAUUAAAUGGUUACUAUCUAAGUUAACUGGCUCCGGAGCAUGUGAUAAAGUGAUAGUAAUGUCUUAGAGGGUAAUAUUUCUAUGUGGACUAUUGGAAACAACUGAGCAUUGUUAUGAGCCUGCUUCUCUGGUAAGUGAGUAACAUGUGAUUCUGUCACCUGAGGUCCAAUAUUGCAUCGUGAAAGUGAUCUUAAAGCACUGCUAAACCCUAUCCCAAUGCAUACCAUCCUGACAUUGUCAAAAAAAAAGAAGCACGUUUGUUUAUUUUUGGUUCUUAUUGUCAUGUUUUGUCAAUGUUGGGACAACAUUUAUUUAGCAGGGGAGGAAUGUAGCACUUGGUAAAGUGUAAAGCUAAAAUAUGUCUAAAACAUUGCAGAAAUCUGUUGGUAUUUGGGCUAUUCAGCAAUAUAUUUGGGGUUUUUUGGCUGCUACAUGUUUCCACCAGUAGAGGGCAGUCAGGGCAAAAAGAAAAGAAAAAUGUUCUGUAAAAAAGGAGAGAAGAGAGUACGCUUGGGUACUGUAUGUAAAAGCCAUGGUUCUGAAGUACCCAAAUAAACUCAGUUUGCUGCUUACAAAGUUGUCCUGAAGUGGUGUAACUCGUGUCACAAAUUAUAGCAGUGAAUCUUAAUAAAACAAGUAAUUAAAGGGCAUACCUGCAUUGGUUAACUCAUUUAAAUUAUCACAACUGACACGUGUGUUUGUAUCAUCCAUGUUAGAUGACUUCCUUCUAAUCUCA